CCUGGGGCGCAGACUGUCUGUCAUUAAUCUGGAGAACUUCAGGAGACAGUACGCACGACGCAGAUGGAAGAUGUCUAUCAGGAUUGUGUCUCUGUGUAACCACCUGACCAGGAUGAUGAGAAAAGGGCAGGAAACAACAACAACAACAGCAACAGGACCAGAGGAGCUGUGACAGCGACAACGAGGAAGAGACCAGGAAGACAAGACUACAGACCAGGAAGAGGAGUAACACUUCCUGAAGACAACAACCAAUCAAAACGCCACCAUUCCUCCAUUCCACUUCCUGAAGUCAACAACCAACCAAAACGUCACCAUUCCUCCAUUCCACUUCCUGAAGUCAACACCAACCAAAACACCACCAUUCCUCCAUUCCACUUCCUGAAGUCAACAACCAACCAAAACACCACCAUUCCUCCAUUCCACUUCCUGAAGACAACAACCAAUCAAAACACCACCGUUCCUCCAUUCCACUUCCUGAAGACAACAACCAAGCACCAUUUAAAUCCAGUUUUCUAUGAAGUUAUAGUCUUUUCUCAGUCAAA